rnacentral:rRNA from 1 species
GAUGAACGCUGGCGGCGUGCCUAAUACAUGCAAGUCGAGCGAACGGACGAGAAGCUUGCUUCUCUGAUGUUAGCGGCGGACGGGUGAGUAACACGUGGACCACCUACCUAUAAGACUGGGAUAUCUUCGGGCAACCGGAGCUAAUACCGGAUAAUAUUUUGAACCUGAUGGUUCAAAAGUGAAAGACGGUCUUGCUGUUACUUAUAGAUGGAUCCGCGCUGCAUGAGCUAGUUGGUAAGGUAACGGCUUACCAAGGCAACGAUGCAUAGCCGAACUGAGAGAGUGAUAGGCCGCACUGGAACUGAGACACGGUCCAGACUCCUACGGGAGGCAGCAGUAGGGAAUCGUCCGCAGUGGGCGAAAGCCUGACGGAGCAACGCCACGUGUGUGAUGAAAGUCUUCGGAUCGUGAAACUCUGUUAUGAGGGAAGAACAGAUGUGUAAGUAACUGUGCACAUCGUGACGGUACCUAAUCAGAAAGCCACGGCUAACUACGUG